UCUGGGGGUGAGCAGAUUCUUGUCUGGGAGAAAUCAGCAGACAGACAAGAAGAGAACGGAGAAGGUGUUGAAGGUGCGAGAAGGCCCCACAGCUUGAGGCUCCUGGAUGUUUCCGCGUCUGAUUCGGGUUGUUUUCUUGGCCUGAGAUCCUGCUGAGGAAGCACUGACUCCUGUUCUGGAUUAAAAGAGACCAAAGAAGAAAAAAAAGAGAGACAGAGAAAUUGAGAGACAGAAGAGCAAAACAAUCAAGUGUAAUGGGAAAACUUUUAGGGGAAAAAAAACAACUAUAAAAAUAUGCUUAGAGGUAACUGGGAGAAAUCUGGAUAUGCACUUGGUGAAAAUGUACAUGUUCAUUGUAUUGCUCUUCCAACUUUUUGCACAGUUGAAUUUUUCAUGAUAAAAAAUUGGG